rnacentral:rRNA from 1 species
UGAGGAAUAUUGGUCAAUGGGCGAGAGCCUGAACCAGCCAAGUAGCGUGCAGGAUGACGGCCCUAUGGGUUGUAAACUGCUUUUAUAUGGGAAUAAAGUGAGGGACGUGUCCCUUAUUGCAUGUACCAUACGAAUAAGCAUCGGCUAACUCCGUGCCAGCAGCCGCGGUAAUACGGAGGAUGCGAGCGUUAUCCGGAAUUAUUGGGUUUAAAGGGUGCGUAGGUUGCAAGGGAAGUCAGGGGUGAAAAGCUAUAGCUCAACUAUGGUCUUGCCUUUGAAACUCUCUAGCUAGAGUGUACUGGAGGUACGUGGAACGUGUGGUGUAGCGGUGAAAUGCAUAGAUAUCACACAGAACUCCGAUUGCGCAGGCAGCGUACUACAUUACAACUGACACUGAAGCACGAAAGCGUGGGUAUCAAACAGG